CACGUAGGGCGCGAGCGUUGUCCGGAAUUAUUGGGCGUAAAGAGCUCGUAGGCGGUCUGUCGCGUCUGCUGUGAAAACUCGGGGCUUAACCCCGGGCCUGCAGUGGAUACGGGCAGACUAGAGGUAGGUAGGGGAGAAUGGAAUUCCCGGUGUAGCGGUGAAAUGCGCAGAUAUCGGGAGGAACACCGGUGGCGAAGGCGGUUCUCUGGGCCUUACCUGACACUGAGGAGCGAAAGCGUGGGGAGCGAACAGG
rnacentral:rRNA from 1 species